rnacentral:rRNA from 1 species
AGAACGAACGCUGGCGGCAUGCCUAAUACAUGCAAGUCGAACGAACUCUUCGGAGUUAGUGGCGCACGGGUGCGUAACGCGUGGGAAUCUGCCCCUUGGUUCGGAAUAACAGUUGGAAACGACUGCUAAUACCGGAUGAUGACGAAAGUCCAAAGAUUUAUCGCCAAGGGAUGAGCCCGCGUAGGAUUAGCUAGUUGGUGAGGUAAAGGCUCACCAAGGCAACGAUCCUUAGCUGGUCUGAGAGGAUGAUCAGCCACACUGGGACUGAGACACGGCCCAGACUCCGUACGGGAGGCAGCAGUAGGGAAUAUUGGACAAGUGGGACGAAAG